GAAAGAACUGAGGUCUACAAGUCAAGAAACAAGCAGAAUCCAGAGCUUUAAUGGCGUGCCGUCCCAGGCUCAAGAUUGUGCAGCUCUGCACUUCUCAUCUUCAAUUCCCUUCAAAGUUUUACAAAACCAUAUAACAAAGCAAAGCUAAAGAAUAAAGCAAUUUGUUUUAAGAAAGCUAACAAAAACUGUUUUUAAAGGCAUUAAUCCACAGCUUGAAGAAAGUUAAUAAAAGAACAAGAUUAACCCAAUACAGAUACAAGGAAGGAGAUAAUAAGAAAUAUUGGAAGAAUUCGAGAAAUCAUGCGAGGGAGAGAGAUUCUUGCUGUGGUAAUAUUGUUCUUUGGUGUUCUUCUAACGACAUCGUUUGCUGCCAAUGUGACGUAUGAUCACAGGGCCUUACUGAUCGAUGGCAAGCGCCGUGUCUUGAUCUCCGGCUCCAUUCAUUAUCCUCGCAGUACUCCCGAGAUGUGGCCAGACCUUAUACAGAAAUCCAAAGAUGGAGGUCUAGAUGUUAUAGAGACUUAUGUUUUCUGGAACGUGCACGAACCAGUUCGAAACCAGGUUCUCUAGAGCUUUGCUCUUCCUUUUCUUUACCUUCUUAAUAAUAUAAUGCUCUGUUUGAUUGCCGAGAAAAUGCAGGAGAAGGUUACUAAAAUCACUGGGUUUUCAUUGUUAUAUGUAAAUGUAAAGAGUUUUAAUCAGCACAAGUUCUUGGGUCAGUUGGGUUGAGUUUUUCAGUCUUUGCUUAAUUAAAAAGAAAAUGGAAAGCCCAGGAAGCAACUUUUGCUUUAGCAACUAAACAGAGAAAUCUUUGUUUCUUAAUUAUGUCUGGUAAUGAUAACAUGUGCAGUACAAUUUUGAAGGAAGAUACGACCUGGUGAAAUUUGUGAAAUUAGUAGCAGAAGCUGGACUUUAUGUUCAUCUUCGCAUUGGUCCAUAUGUUUGUGCAGAAUGGAAUUAUGGGUACUUAUCUUUAUGCCAUUUACUCAAAUAAUUAACUGAAAAAUGAUUGCUUCCUUCUCUUUUUAAUCUUGAUAACCACAUGAACUCGAUGCAUAAUCAUGUUUUCAUUGACUUUUUUUUUCUUUCCCUUUGGGGAGGUUGAGCAGCGGCUUUCCUCUUUGGCUACAUUUUAUACCUGGAAUCAAGUUUCGAACUGAUAAUGAGCCAUUCAAGGUUGAAAUGCAGCGAUUCACGGCGAAGAUUGUGGAUAUGAUGAAGCAGGAGAAGCUUUAUGCAUCUCAGGGAGGACCCAUCAUUUUAUCACAGAUUGAAAACGAAUAUGGUAACAUUGAUUCAGCAUUUGGUCCUGCUGCUAAGACUUAUAUCAAUUGGGCAGCAAAAAUGGCUGUAUCUCUUGAUACUGGUGUGCCCUGGGUCAUGUGCCAGCAACCAGAUGCUCCUGAUCCCAUUAUAAACACCUGCAAUGGCUUCUACUGUGACCAAUUUACCCCAAAUUCUAAUAACAAACCCAAAAUGUGGACUGAGAAUUGGAGUGGGUGGUUUCUAUCCUUUGGUGGUGCUGUUCCCUACAGACCUGUUGAAGACCUUGCAUUUGCUGUGGCACGAUUUUUCCAGCUAGGUGGAACUUUCCAAAACUAUUAUAUGUACCAUGGUGGAACUAACUUUGGCAGGACCAGUGGUGGACCCUUUAUUUCUACAAGUUAUGAUUAUGAUGCUCCUCUUGAUGAAUAUGGGCUUCUUAGACAACCUAAGUGGGGC
rnacentral:misc_RNA from 1 species